rnacentral:tRNA from 1 species
GCAAGUAUCGUUCAACGGUAGGAUUCCUGUCUUCCAAACAGAUAAUGUCGGUUCGAUUCCGACUACUUGCU